rnacentral:rRNA from 1 species
CAAUAGCGUAUAUUUAAGUUGCUGCAGUUAAAAAGCUCGUAGUUGGAUUUCGGGUGGGAAUGGCCGGUCCGCCGUUUCGGUGUGCACUUGCUACGCCCACCUUGCUGCCGGGGACGUGCUCUUGAGUUCACGCUCGGGACACGGAGUCGGCGAGGUUACUUUGAGUAAAUUAGAGUGUUCAAAGCAGGCCUACGCUCUGAAUACAUUAGCAUGGAAUAACACGAUAGGACUCUGGCCUAUCUUGUUGGUCUGUAGGACCGGAGUAAUGAUUAAGAGGGACAGUCGGGGGCAUUCGUAUUUCAUUGUCAGAGGUGAAAUUCUUGGAUUUACGAAAGACGAACUACUGCGAAAGCAUUUGCCAAGGAUGUUUUCACUAA